GCCAUGUGCGGGCCGGGGGCCUCGGGAAUAGGUGGGGGGCGAGGGUGGUUCGGAAUUACUGGGCGGAAAGGGCGGGUAGGAGGUACGGUAUGUUGGACGUGAAAGCCCCGGGCUCAACUCGGGGCGGUCGUUCAAAACUGCCGUGCUAGAGUGUGGGAGAGGGAAGUGGAAUUCCCGGUGUAGCGGUGAAAUGCGUAGAUAUCGGGAAGAACACCUGUGGCGAAGGCGGCUUCCUGGCCCGCAACUGACGCUGAGGCGCGAAAGCUAGGGGAGCAAACAGGAUUAGAUAGCCGUGUAGUC
rnacentral:rRNA from 1 species